rnacentral:tRNA from 1 species
UAAAAUUUAGUUAAUAAAUAACCUUAGUUUGUCAAACUAAAAUAACUACAAAAGUAAUUUUAU